UAAUGGUGGGAACUCCAGGGAGACUGCCGGUGAUAAACCGGAGGAAGGUGGGGACGACGUCAAGUCAUCAUGGCCCUUACGAGUAGGGCUACACACGUGCUACAAUGGCGUAUACAGAGGGCUGCAAGCUAGCGAUAGUGAGCGAAUCCCACAAAGUACGUCGUAGUCCGGAUUGGAGUCUGCAACUCGACUCCAUGAAGUCGGAAUCGCUAGUAAUCGUGAAUCAGAAUGUCACGGUGAAUACGUUCCCGGGCCUUGUACACACCGCCCGUCACACCAUGGGAGUGGGCUGCACCAGAAGUAGAUAGCUUAACCUUCGGGAGGGCGUUUACCACGGUGUGGUUCAUGACUGGGGUGAAGUCGUAACAAGGUAGCCCUAGGGGAACCUGGGGCUGGAUCACCUCCUUACCU
rnacentral:rRNA from 1 species